GAGAUGAGCCCCGGCGAGCUGAAAUAAAUUGUAAUCAAAAUAAAAGAAAUCAGGCUAGGCGAGAACUUAAUAGGUAUAAUAUGCAUCGCAUAGCAAGAAAUAAUAUUGCUAUAGAGAGUAACUACCUCGGAGAGUUAAACCAUAAUUGUCAGUAUUGCAGUGCAAAGAAGUUUUUAAAUAAAACUCAUUUUUUGUGCUGCCAUUCAGGAAAAGUUGUAUUAGCUCCUCUUUCUCUUUAUCCGCCAUUGUUGACUGGUUUAAUGACAGGAAACCAUGUUGAUCAUGCUGUAAAUCAAAAUUUUUUUAAACACAUAAGGAGUUAUAAUUCCUCUUUAUCUUUUGCUUCCUUCACUGCCGAAAUAGCUCCUCCCUCAAAUAAUGGCCCUUUCUGUUUUAGGGUCUGUGGGCAAAUUUUGCAUCGUGUUGGAAAUUUAAGGCCUGCAGAAGGUUGUCUGCCCAAAUAUUGUCAGUUGUAUAUCUAUGAUCCUAAUGCAGCUUAUUACAUUGAUUGAUUGUUUUUAUUGCAUUUUUAAUUUUCUUUUAUUUAUCUCUAGCUGCUGCUUCUUCUGUUACAAGCUCGAAGUCAUGGGAAGAUUUCCGAAAGUAUCGCUCCCAGCAUCCAGGCCCUCUAUCUAUGAGGGCCUUCCAUCGCUGGUGUUUGUAUGGGGACGACCAUCCCUCCUUUAGAUGGAGGGAUGGCACCCCAUACAACACGGGGAAUAGAGCGGAUGCUGGGAGGAGAAGACAACGCGGCUCAAAAGUUGUCAAUAAUUUUUUUUACAUUUUAAAAUGUAAAGAAAUUGACAACUUUUGAGCAACUUCAUUUUUUUUUUUGUAAUUUUUUUUUGUAAUAUAUUUUUGUAAAUUUA
rnacentral:lncRNA from 1 species